UCUCUCUCUCUCUCUCUCUCUCUCUCUCUCUCUCUCUCUGUGUGUGUGUGUGUGUGAGACAGAGAGAGAGAGAGAGAGAGAGAGAGAGAGAGAGAGAGA
rnacentral:miRNA from 1 species